AGUAUAACUUCAAUAAUGAACAAGCAUACAAACAUACAUAUGCGCAGCAGCAGCAAGGAAAGAGGUAACAAUCGGCGAUCCAUUGUAUAUUUCUUUCGUGCAUAACCAAACCAUAAUUAGAACAACGCAAUUCAAGUGUCAAUGGUGGUGUUGGUGGUAAGCGCUUCAAAAGAGACGACGAGCAGGUAGGUUCGAAUCCCAACAGAAUUUAUUUUAAAUUGAUUAUGUCACCAACCAAAAAUUGAAACAUUGUUCUACAAAAACAACAACAGCAUAAGCAUGGCAACAUUGUGUUGUUGGUAGAAAAGCCGAGCUGUGCCGAAAGAAACGAACAAGCGAUCGCCGAUUGUCACCGCUUCGCUUGCUGCUCGAACAACUUCGUAGACAAGGUUGCGUAGAUUCAUAUUGAGCAAGGUUGCGCAACCUGAAUCUAUCGCAACCUUUUCCGAACUCUUAUAAGAAGUAUAACUUCAAAAACACAAAAUAUAUUAAUUUUGAAACAAAUAAACGUUAAAGGUGCAUGAAAACUUUAUUGAUUCACUCUAUAUAAUCCUAUAUCUAUCUCGAUUAGUUUUAGGUAAUACGUACAACCGUUAGGUAAAAAAUAUUAUAAUACUCUCUAGCAACUGGUUGUAAGAUUAUAAAAAUGCAUUGCAAUUUUACUAAUCUCUGCAUGAAAAAUUGUUUGCCCACGCACACAAGGACAUUUUACCAUACUAAAACAUAUUUUUCCCGGUAUAUUACAGCGGAUUGAUUUGCAUGGCGCUAAAACACAGGUAAACUUUGUGAAUGAAAUUUCAUACGUAUAUGCAUUUGGAUAUUCAAUUGAUAAUUUGUCGGAAUCGAUCAGAUCAUAACUGGAGGGCUGUUGAUGUCAUAUUCGUAUGAAUAUUAAAACUAUAUGAUUUUUAUAGCAGGAACAGCCAAAACGUAAACUCGUAUCAGCUGAUACGACCUAUCUUAUGGGAGUGCAAUGUAAGUGAUCAGCAAAAACGCUACUCCCUUCCUCUUUGCCGUAGGAGUCCACGGCAUUUGGAUUUUUAUCGUAGAAACGUGUCAGCUGAUUGCUCUCUCGAUAUACUGAAGUAAUUAUAAAAGUUGUCUUCAAUAUGUUUGAAAUUUUCUAAAAAUAACACAAAAUCAGAGUCGAAUACUAUUAUUUAUAAAUAUAUAAACUAUUUUUAAUAGUUUCUUUACAGUUUUGAUAUUUUAUUUUAUAAAAAAUUGUAAUUGAAAACAUAGAUGUGCUCAAAACUAUAUAUGCGUAUUGAGCAAUGGCAGCAUUGUUCAAAUGUAAACAAACGCCAUUCAAACAAACGUCAAACCAAAAAUUUAUUCGAUCUAUUCAAAAAGGAAAAUACAUGUGCAAAUAUAUAAACAAUGGAUGAGCAGUCCAUACUAUAAGCUGCAAUCGAGAAAAGAUGCCUUGUGGAAUGAAAUCGGGAGAGAUAUGAACGAGAAAUGUGUCGCCGUAGAUGGCUAACACUUCGUAACCGGCACGGGAGGGAAGUGCGAAAGGCUAACGCCCCCUCAGGCAGGCAGGAUGGAAAUCCAAAGGCAGUGGCAUUUGUUGGAGGCUAUAAAAUUCCUGAAGCCACAUAUUGUACCACGACCGGUUAGAUGCUCACAAAAUAUUUGUGAAACCGCUGUCUGUGAUGAGGUCCCUUGUCGCCGUUAAUCCCUAUUACAAUAUCAACAAUAUUACGAUUAU